rnacentral:rRNA from 1 species
UACAGAGGGUGCGAGCGUUGUCCGGAAUCACUGGGCGUAAAGGGCGCGUAGGUGGCGCGACAAGUCAGUGGUGAAAGUUCGACGCUCAACGUCGAAUCGGCCACUGAUACUGUUGGGCUUGAGCACUGUAGAGGCUAAUGGAAUUCCGGGUGUAGCGGUGGAAUGCGUAGAGAUCCGGAAGAACACCGGUGGCGAAGGCGGUUAGCUGGGCAGUUGCUGACACUGAGGCGCGACAGCGUGGGGAGCAAACA